rnacentral:rRNA from 1 species
GACGAGUGGCGGACGGGUGAGUAAUGCUUGGGAACUUGCCUUUGCGAGGGGGAUAACAGUUGGAAACGACUGCUAAUACCGCAUAAUGUCUUCGGACCAAACGGGGCUUCGGCUCCGGCGCAAAGAGAGGCCCAAGUGAGAUUAGCUAGUUGGUAAGGUAACGGCUUACCAAGGCGACGAUCUCUAGCUGUUCUGAGAGGAAGAUCAGCCACACUGGGACUGAGACACGGCCCAGACUCCUACGGGAGGCAGCAGUGGGGAAUAUUGCACAAUGGGGGAAACCCUGAUGCAGCCAUGCCGCGUGUGUGAAGAAGGCCUUCGGGUUGUAAAGCACUUUCAGUUGUGAGGAAAAGUUAGUAGUUAAUACCUGCUAGCCGUGACGUUAACAACAGAAGAAGCACCGGCUAACUCCGUGCCAGCAGCCGCGGUAAUACGGAGGGUGCGAGCGUUAAUCGGAAUUACUGGGCGUAAAGCGCACGCAGGCGGUUUGUUAAGCUAGAUGUGAAAGCCCCGGGCUCAACCUGGGAUGGUCAUUUAGAACUGGCAGACUAGAGUCUUGGAGAGGGGAGUGGAAUUCCAGGUGUAGCGGUGAAAUGCGUAGAUAUCUGGAGGAACAUCAGUGGCGAAGGCGACUCCCUGG